rnacentral:misc_RNA from 1 species
GGCCAGUUCUUACAUGAUAUUCCUGAAAGAGUUUGUACAGAACACAUCACAAACAGAUAAUAGAAAAUUUUUAAGUGACAAAGCUAAGUUACUAAAAGAUGGUCAUAAAGGUGCAAUCAGAGAUGUUUCACCAUAAUAAUAUUUUCCAAUAACUCAUUGUUCGUUCAACAAGAAAUGCCUUCAGAUAAUAUAAGAGCAAUUGUUUGUUUCCUGUAAACCAUUUCAAUAGACAAAGCACCAACUUUAUCCAGAUAAAUUUAUUCCCAAGAAAGGCUUCCCAUGUGCCCUUAGCCCUGUCCAAGUAACAUGCCAAACCAUCUUGCUACAUUGUAUUAAGAUACCUUUUGCAGAAAGUGGGAUGAAAAUAAUAAGUUGUUCCCAAAUUCAAUCAUUUCAUUCUUAAAAAAGGGAUGACAGUUCAAAAGAUAGAGCCUGGAAUCUCGUGUAUUAAAAGAAGACAUUGACCUAAAACUGUUUAAAAGAAAGAAUAAAAAAAAAGAAAGAAAAAUCAACAGCUGGAUAUCUUAAUAUAAUAAGAAGAAAUAAGACAAGAAAAGUAUAGCUAAGUUUUCUUCAAUGGACUGAACUUUGAAUAAAACCCAAGAAACGCAUUCAACAAAAAUUCCAAAAAGUUUCCCCAUAAAAAAUAUCAAACGAUUAAGGGAUACCCCCAAAAAAAAUGAAGAUCAAAGAAGGAUAAAUUACCAGCGAUAACAACAACAACAAAAGAUUAUUAGAAAAGUUAAAAUUUCCAAAAUCUGAUUUUCAUAAAGCACAAAACAAACCAAAAUAAACUUCUGAAAUCUUAACAAACGAAUAGAUAACAUGAAUUCAUCACUUUUAAAUUAAGCAUACACACGGAUACCAUUUCGACUGGAGAAAGAAAAACAAGGAGAAGACCAAAACAGCUGCGCCACAAGAAGUGAACAAGAUAUUGAUAAAAUUCAAAAAUACCCAUAAAAAAAGUUAACCGAACCCAGAUUCCUCUAAUAACAAUUUGAUUCCAAAAUGGAAUCCAUGAAUGUUUAGAAGUAGGUAAAAACGAGAGGCAUAUUUAACAAAUAAGGAAAUGAACGGAUCUGAUAGUCAUUAUUGCCCGAUUUCAAUCUAGCAACAUUGAAUGAACAAAAAAAAUUUGCUUAAUAACAGAAGGAAAGGGGAAAAAAAAAAGAUAAAAGAAAAGGGCUUGAGAACUGAUUUUGAUUUGCGGAAGUGUUGGGCUACCUUGUUAAUUGUUUUGCUAAUAAUAAAUCCACCUAAUAAAAAUUUACAAAAUGCCUCCCAUAUUCCAACAAUUCAAAACCAUUUUCUGGCAAAACAUUUACUUGAAAUCCAAAUUCAAAUCUCCAACCAUACCCACAACUUGCCGCUCUUUCCUUGUUUACAUUCACUAUCUUCACAUCCCACAUAACCGAAAUCCUGGAGAGUCCAAGUCCCCAUUCAAAGGAUUUCACUUUGUUCAUUCAGUUGCAAAUUCCCUUUCACUAACUGCACCCCAAAAUGAACCUGCCAAUGAACUAGCAAUCCAAGUCCAAAACAUCUUCAAGAAUUACAGAGACAGCCCCACAAGGAAGAUUGAGCUUGCUCUCAAUCAUUGCUGCCUCACAUUGACAGAAGAUCUAAUCUUGAACGUACUGAGGAGGCACCGAUCUGAUUGGAAACCAGCUUUUAUAUUUUUCAACUGGGUUUCUAAAGGUGGCCAAAUUAUUUUGGGUUCUGGUGUUUAUAAUGAGAUUCUUGACAUUCUUGGAAAAAUGAGGCGGUUUGGGGAAUUGAACCAAGUGCUGGAUGAAAUGACCAACAGAGGGGGACUUGUCAAUGAGGAAACAUAUAGAGUUCUGGUUAAUAGAUACGCAGCUGCACAUAAGGUGGAAGAGGCAAUUGAGGUUUUCAAUAAGAGGAGAGAUUUAGGGCUAGAGCUUGAUUUGGCUGCAUUCCAGAAACUUUUGAUGUGUUUAUGUAGGUACAAGCAUGUAGAAGUUGCAGAAACUUUGUUAUAUUCUAAGGGAAAUGAUUUUGGCAGGGAUACAAAGACGAUGAAUAUUGUUCUGAAUGGGUGGUGUGUGUUAGGAAAUGUGCAUGAGGCAAAGAGGUUUUGGAAAGAUAUAGUUAGCUCUAAAUGCAAGCCGGAUUUGUUUACAUAUGGAACUUUUAUUAAAGCAUUAACCAAGAAGGGAAAGUUAGGCAAAGCAAUGAAACUCUAUCGAGCAAUGUGGGAGAAACAUUGCAAGCCAGAUGUGGUGAUAUGCAAUUGUAUUAUUGACGCAUUGUGUUUCAAGAAGAGGAUUCCAGAGGCCUUGGAGGUUUUCAGGGAAAUGAGUGAACUGGGUUGUUUACCAAAUGUGGCUACCUACAACUCGCUUAUCAAGCAUUUGUGCAAAAUUCAGAGGAUGGAGAAGGUUUACGAGCUUUUGGAUGAAAUGCAGGACAAGAAGGGGAGUUGCAUGCCAAAUGAUAUAACUUUCAAUUUCUUGCUCCAGGAAUUGAAGAAGCCAGAGCAACUUCCUUGGGUUUUAGAAAGGAUGGAGAGGAAUGAAUGGAAGAUCAAUGGUGACACAUAUAACUUGAUCCUGAAAUUGUAUGUGGCUUGGGAUUGUGAGGAAAGAAUAAUAGGUACUUGGAAUGAGAUGGAGAAAUAUGGUUUGGGACCUGAUCGACGAUCCUAUACCAUUAUUAUCCAUUGGCUCCAUCACAAGGGAAGAAUUAAGGAUGCUUUGCAUUACUUUUGGGAGAUGAAAUCUAAGGGAAUGGUUCCAGAGCCAAGGACUGAGAUAUUGGUCAAUGCAAUGAGUAUGAAGUCGAAAGAAAAUGAUGCUGAACAAGAGGAAAAAGGUGCAAUAAAUAGUAAAAAAUCAUCAAGUUCUAUGCGCAAAAGGAUAAGGAAGAUUAGAGCAGGGUAAUCUUGCUUCAAUAUUUAAGUGUUAUCAAGAUCAUGUGAUUACCUUCUGUGUCCUUGAUCUUUAUGGUGGUUGUGAAUUUAGAAGAAGUCAUGAAAAUACUGCAACCUUGAUUUGAUUCUUAUUUUUGUUCUUUAGAGAUGGGGUUUCAUUCUUUCUUGCAUUUGGCCAGAUUUUUGGUUUGGGGUUUCUUUUAUUGGUUUUCAUUUUCAUCAUUUCAAAUUAUUCUUGUUUUUAAGGAUUUGGAAGUGGGUGGUUGUAUUCCAUUAUAUAUACUGUUUCAGAAGAAAAGGAAAAAAGGAAAACAGAAUGAGAGCUGCUUUUGAUUUAAAGAAGAGUUUGGACCACCUUGUUAAUUUGGUUUGCAUGUGAUAGUGUAUCUUCUUUUGACUUUGCUUGACUGGUUGCCUUCUCGAAGUGUAUGCUUGAGUUGCUGGUCUCUUAGAACUUAUCUGGUUUACUUAGCCAAAAGGAAAAGAAAGAUGUCAAGAGAAAAAGAUAAAGAAGCCAAGUUGAUCAGAGGGACAUGUGUAGUCAUUUUUUGUACUCAGAUUUAUUCUGUUUAUGUUGUAUUUACAAUAAUCAUCAAGCAUUCUUCAACGAACAGAUCUGCACAUGUGCUAGAGCUUAUAAUCUUCUCAAAUGAUAUGUCACUUGAUUUAUUCUCCUUUCCUUGGUUAUUGUUGUUGUCUUUGUCAAAGCCCUCAUUUAAUGCUGUUUUUCUCUAGUCACAAUGUACGCUGAAGAUGAUUAUGAGUUGAAUUAAUGUGUGUUGGUUUUAAAACGUGCUUUUUGAUAGACAUUUGAAAAAGAAGGCUAAUAGGUUGUUAUCUUUUUCAGAUGAUGAAGUUAUAUAAAUGGUGCUGCAGUUUUCAUGAAUUCUAUGAGACGUUUUGGCCAUAAGCAUCGUUCAUUCACUACUUCUGCUUCAACUCCAUCAUAUUCAUUUCCAUGGAUCUCUCCUCUUCAAUUUUCAAAAGCAACUCAUGUACAAGAUUCACCAACUGAAACCUCAAACACCCUUGUGGAUUCUCGGAGAAAAUCAAAAUUCAUCUCUCAUGAGUCUGCCAUAAAUUUGAUCAAACAUGAGAGGGAUCCACAAUAUGCAUUAGAAAUUUUCAACAUGGUAGCAGAACAAAAGGGUUUCAAUCACAAUCAUGCUACCUAUUCAACCAUAAUUCAUAAGCUUGCUCAGGCCAAGAAGUUUCAGGUGGUUGAUGCACUGCUUCAUCAGAUGACCUAUGAAACUUGCAAAUUUCAUGAAAAUAUAUUACUUAAUCUUAUGAAGCAUUUCUCUAAGUCUUCUCUGCAUGAGAGAGUGCUUGAGAUAUUCUAUGCAAUUCAGCCAAUAGUUCGUGAGAAGCCAUCUCUCAAAGCCAUCAGCACGUGUCUCAAUCUGUUGAUUGAAGCAAAGCAGAUUGAUUUGGCCCAGAAAGUUCUGUUAUAUGUCAAGGAGUGUCUCAAAGUAAGACCAAAUACCUGUAUUUUUAACAUCUUGGUCAAGCAUCAUUGCAAAAUUGGGGAUCUUGAAUCUGCCUUUCAAGUUUUGAAGGAGAUGAAAAAGUCCAGUAGGACUUAUCCUAAUUUGAUUACCUACUCAACUCUGAUGGACGGGCUAUGCAAAAGUGGAAGACUCAAUGAAGCAAUUGAAUUGUUUGAGGACAUGGUGGCAAAGGAUCAGAUAUUGCCUGAUGCUCUCACUUACAGUGUUUUGAUUAAUGGCUUUUGCAAUGGGGGGGAAGUUGAUAGGGCCAGGAAGAUAAUAGAGUUUAUGAGAAAUAAUGGAUGCAACCCAAAUUUAUUUAAUUAUUCAGCCCUGAUGAAUGGAUUUUGUAAAGAGGGAAGGUUUAAGGAGGUCAAAGAGCUUUUUGAUGAGAUGAAGAGCUUUGGCUUGAAACCUGAUACAGUUGGCUACACUACAUUGAUAAAUUGUUUCUGUGGGACAGGUAGAAUAGAUGAAGCCAUGGAGUUGCUUAAAGAGAUGGCAGAAAUGAAGUGCAAACCUGAUGUUGUAACUUUUAAUGUGUUGCUUAAAGGUUUGUGCAGAGAAGGCAGGUUUGAUGAGGCUCUUGGGAUGCUUGAGAAACUAGCUUAUGAGGGUGUUUAUCUGAAUAAAGGGAGUUACAGGAUUGUUUUGAAUUUCUUGUGCCAAACAGGUAAGCUGGAGAAGACUUGUGAACUGUUGGAUUUUAUGCUCAGUAGAGGCUUUGUACCCCAUCAUGCAACUUCAAAUGAGUUGUUGGUUCGCUUAUGUAAAGCUGCAAUGGUGGAUGAUGCUGUUACAGCAUUAUUUGGAUUAGCAGAAAUGGGGUUUAAACCAGAACCUGAUUCAUGGGCUGUUUUAGUUGAACAUAUAUGCAGAGAAAGAAAAUUGUUGUUUGCAUUUGAACUGCUUGAUGAGUUAGUUACCAAAUAAGCUGGCAAUUCUACACUGUUUUAAUCUCAAUCGAUGAAAUUUGCAAACUUCAAUUCUUGUUGCUUCUUUGUAGCGUAAUUUACUAAAGUAGCCAUCAAUUGAUGCGAAUUAGAAAGUUAUCCAUUAUUGUAAUUUAAAUGUUAAAGACAUUCUCAUAGUUGCAUAGAUCAAAAUCGAUAGUCUAGC